UACGUAGGGUGCAGGCGUUAAUCGGAAUUACUGGGCGUAAAGCGCGCGUAGGCGGAUCUGCAAGUCGGGGGUGAAAUCCCGAGGCUCAACCUCGGAACUGCCUUCGAUACUGCGGGUCUCGAGUCCGGGAGAGGUGAGUGGAAUUCCUAGUGUAGAGGUGAAAUUCGUAGAUAUUAGGAAGAACACCAGUGGCGAAGGCGGCUCACUGGCCCGGUACUGACGCUGAGGCGCGAAAGCGUGGGGAGCAAACAGG
rnacentral:rRNA from 1 species